UACGUAGGGUGCAAGCGUUAAUCGGAAUUACUGGGCGUAAAGCGUGCGCAGGCGGUGAUGUAAGACAGAUGUGAAAUCCCCGGGCUCAACCUGGGAACUGCAUUCGAGACUGCGUAGCUAGGGUGCGGAAGAGGGAAGCGGAAUUUCCGGUGUAGCGGUGAAAUGCGUAGAUAUCGGAAGGAACACCAGUGGCGAAAGCGGCUUCCUGGUCCAGCACCGACGUUCAGGCACGAAAGCGUGGGGAGCAAACAGG
rnacentral:rRNA from 1 species